AUUGAACGCUGGCGGCAGGCUUAACACAUGCAAGUCGAGCGGAGUGAUGGUGCUUGCACUAUCACUUAGCGGCGGACGGGUGAGUAAUGCUUAGGAAUCUGCCUAUUAGUGGGGGACAACAUCUCGAAAGGGAUGCUAAUACCGCAUACGUCCUACGGGAGAAAGCAGGGGAUCACUUGUGACCUUGCGCUAAUAGAUGAGCCUAAGUCAGAUUAGCUAGUUGGCGGGGUAAAGGCCUACCAAGGCGACGAUCUGUAGCGGGUCUGAGAGGAUGAUCCGCCACACUGGGACUGAGACACGGCUCAGACUCCUACGGGAGGCAGCAGUGGGGAAUAUUGGACAAUGGGGGGAACCCUGAUCCAGCCAUGCCGCGUGUGUGAAGAAGGCCUUAUGGUUGUAAAGCACUUUAAGCGAGGAGGAGGCUCUUUUGGUUACUACCCAAGAUGAGUGGACGUUACUCGCAGAAUAAGCACCGGCUAACUCUGUGCCAGCCGCCGCCGUAA
rnacentral:rRNA from 1 species